rnacentral:RNase_P_RNA from 2 species
UGAGUUGGCUGGGUAACCGCUGCUUCGUUGAUGUCCUUUGGGAGACUGACGGGGGGGAGGAAAGUCCGGGCUCCACAGGGCAGGGUGCCAGGUAACGCCUGGGGGGCGCAAGCCUACGACCAGUGCAACAGAGAGCAAACCGCCGAUGGCCUUUAUAUUCCGCAAGGAGAUAAAGUGCACAGGUAAGGGUGAAAGGGUGCGGUAAGAGCGCACCGCGCGGCUGGCAACAGUUCGUGGCACGGUAAACUCCACCCGGAGCAAGACCAAAUAGGUCCCUAUUGGCGCGGCCCGCGUUGGGGACGGGUAGGUUGCUUGAGCCUGUGAGCGAUUGCAGGCCUAGACGAAUGGUUACCACCGUUUUUUACGGUACAGAACCCGGCUUACAGGCCGACUCACUUA